rnacentral:lncRNA from 1 species
AGGAAAAUUCAGGUGACAUUUCAACCAUAAGAACAGGUUCAGAAGGAUUGCUUUCCUUGUCAAAAGUUCCCACAAGGAGUGAUGUCCCAUUUGUACUAAUUUCUUGAAAACUGAUAUUAUUAGGUCUAGUGCAAGACAUGUGGUAAUUCACACCAUCUGUUUGUUCUGGAGUUAGCAAAUUUUCCUCAGAUUUGCUGAUAUGCUUUGACCCUUUGUUCAUCUUUCAUCAACAUCUGGGCUGAAAAGGAGUCCAGUUUUUACAGACUGAAUCCUAUUUUUAAAAUCUUGUUGACUUGCAAGUCAUAGUCCAACAUGUUCAUAUCUUGUCACUCCAGAACAUCUGUUUACAUCUCUGCUAUUUUUCUUCAGACUAAACUUAAGAUGAAGGGAUCUUCGGAGCUUUUCUUUACAACUUAUCUUAGGGGAGAAACAACCUGCUUUCCAUGAUUCCACCCUGAAUACGUUUUUGCUUGCAAUCCUUUUACUUCACCUCUGAACACUUGUAUUGGACAGAUUUCCACUGACAGCUAUGGAGGAGAUUGAAUUCCGAGAAGAUGUGCCAGGACUUUCUACAAAUUGAACUGAUGCAGGUGUUGAAACACCAUGGAAGAGACUACUUGGGGAUCUUCGCCUUGGAAUUUGACCAUGGAGGAACUUGGACUGGAGAUAUCAGAUUGCUUCCCUUUGUCAGUGGUGAGUAAAAAGGCUGAUUCCCUUUCCUUGACUUUUCUAGGCCCAUCAUCUUGGGACUCCUUUCCCCUUGGCUUUCUGGAAACAUUAGCCUCUGGAGAGACCUCUCAUCUUGGAAGAGGCCUUGGUGGCUGGAAGUCUUACUAAUUUAAUCUUCUGCCUUCCUUCCAC